rnacentral:rRNA from 1 species
CCUACGGGUGGCAGCAGUGAGGAAUAUUGGUCAAUGGACGAAAGUCUGAACCAGCCAAGCCGCGUGAAGGAUGACUGCCCUAUGGGUUGUAAACUUCUUUUAUAUGGGAAUAAAAUGUUCCACGUGUGGGAUUUUGUAUGUACCAUAUGAAUAAGGAUCGGCUAACUCCGUGCCAGCAGCCGCGGUAAUACGGCGGAUGCGAGCGUUAUCCGGAUUUAUUGGGUGUAAAGGGAGCGUAGGGGGAUUGUUAAGUCAGAUGUGAAAGUUUGCGGCUCAACCGGGGAAUUGCAGUUGAAACUGGCAGUCUUGAGUACAGGAGAGGUGGGCGGAAUUCGUGGUGUAGCGGUGAAAUGCGUAGAUAUCAGGAAGAACUCCGAUGGCGAAGGCAGCUCACUGGACUGCAACUGACACUGAGGCUCGAAAGUGUGGGUAUCAAACAGGAUUAGAUACCCGGGUAGUC